rnacentral:rRNA from 1 species
UACGGUGGGAGCAAGCGUUGUUCGGAUUUACUGGGCGUAAAGGGCUCGUAGGCGGCCAACUAAGUCCGACGUGAAAUCCCCAGGCUUAACCUGGGAACUGCGUCGGAUACUGGAUGGCUUGAAUCCGGGAGAGGGAUGCGGAAUUCCAGGUGUAGCGGUGAAAUGCGUAGAUAUCUGGAGGAACACCGGUGGCGAAGGCGGCAUCCUGGACCGAUACUGACGCUGAGGAGCGAAAGCCAGGGGAGCAAACGGG